rnacentral:lncRNA from 1 species
GCGACUGUAAUCUGAUCAAUCAACAUAUCACCUAGAUAGAACUCAAAAGUUCCCAAGGUUCUGGAUCAUCAAAACCAGAUUCUAAAUCCUUAAAACUGAAAUAGUGAUGCGACAGGCUUUAAAGGGAACCUGACCUAUCUAUCAGCUAGGAGAACGUACAAUACUAAAUCUUUUUUUUUUUAUUUUUAAUCCCAUCCCCUCUUUUUUUCCUCAUUCACCAUUUUCAACCCCAGUACCAAUGAAUUAAGGCUUAAUAAUCUUAGUCCCCAUCCAAAAUCCUAUUUCUGAGUUAGUACUUUAAAAACUGCCUAGAAGAUCAGUACCUAGACACUUACAAAGAUAUAAAAUUUCUCAUAAAUUCUGAACAUUUAUUGGCUGCAUUCAAUGGUAUUUAUUCUCUUUCUGCACGUGUCCUAACACCAACGAUUGUGUUCCACAGCACUAAGACCACUCUUUACCCACUUCCUGCCUGCCUAUAUCAAAACAACCAAAAGCCUUCAGAAGUUUGAAGAAGAAGACUAUCUUAUUGGAACAUUCCUAGAAUAGGCAGUUAUUACCGUUAGAACAGCAAAAAUGGGAAAAAAAAAAAACAUGCACUUAAUACCAAAAACAACAUAUUAUAUAUUGUAUAUAUCAUAAUCCACAUCUAUGGUCGAUGCAUGAGUAACCCAUUAUAAUAACCUAUUGAGGUCCUAGAUCAACACCAACCGCUUUUAUUGCUUGAAUUCCAAAAUUGAGAUCAAUACAUAAUAGUAUGACAACAAUACCAAUGAGAAUAAUAACCAAGUAAAAGACCUAUUAACGUUGUAGAAACUACUAUUAUUAGAAGAAAACUAGAAAAAGUCUAAUUCUAGCUUUUGUAACCUACAUACUGUAGAGAACAUUAUUAGAAGAAAAUUAGAAAAAAUCAUCAGUUAUAUCACUAGAACAAAUGGGAAGUCGCAACAAGUAACAUUUGAUUGAACGAUAUAGGCAACUAUAUGCGAAAUUAAUAACGAUUCAGCUAUUCUAGUUAAAGAUCCGGUGGAUGAAACAUGCAACAAUUAAUCAACAGCAUUUCCUUCUCUAAUUAUUUCACCCUUGUGAGUCAUAUAAGAAAAGGGGAUCAUAUAUGAACAUCCAUCCAUGUCUGCUAUUUUAAACAAGCAGUUUUAUUCUACUUCUAGUUAUUUUGAUGAAAAAUGCAUCAGACGCCAGAUCCAAACCGUCAUUUCUCGUGAAAAAUAUAGCAAACCCUAAACAACCAAACCAAACUCCGGGUGAAACAAACAAAGAAAAAAAUAAUCAAGGGCUUAUAUCAAGAAUAUGAGCCGGUAGAAGCCAGAUCCUUCGUUCACGCGAGAAAUUGGACCAAGAAUUAGAAACGAAAUCAGCGCUUCAAGAAACGGGUAAUUCGCUUCAAAGACAUCAACACUUCAAGAUCCUGAGAGAGUUGUCAUCAUAGGAAAUCCGAAGAGGCCAAUCAAGAAAACCGAGAAUUGGAGCAAGAACUAGAACGAAACACCGUAAACUUCAAGAAACGGGCGAUUCAUCUCAGAGAGGUUGUUGCCUCCCUCUCGAGACACCAGCAGAAGAAGAAUCAAGGGAUGACAUCAAGAAUGAACCAAGAUUCUUCCCUGCAUGCAAAAGAACUCGAAGCGAGCAAACAUACAAUUCCACGGUCAUUGAGAAACGGCGGAUUCACUUGACGGGCGUUCAUUCCUCCAUCUCGACGGAUGGCGUCGAAGCAACUGCGAGAGAGAUUCUUGACAACGUGGUAGGCUAGGGGAUCGAAGUGGGAAGAGAUGAGAGGAGGAAGGGGACGAAAUAGGAGAGCCGAGCGGAAAUAAUCGCCAUCAAGAAGAGGAGGUUACAUCAUCCCUUCCCUACAGGCAGAGAGAGAGAUAACGGCCAUAAAUGAAAGAUGGUUACGAUCUGAAGGGGGGAGCGUUUUAUACACGUUAUGGGUCGCAACUAACACACGCUAAUUGGGUCUGUACUUCUUGACGCUUCUGCCGUGGAAUGAAUGGUAUUCAUUACGAUUCCGAGUUUAUGGUUGGAUGAAAUUUCGAAUGUAAUGACUAAUCCGCGUGUAUUCAAUUUAGACUAAAUCAGUUACAUCAGGUCGAUUAUAACGUAAAAGAAGAUAUUAAAUGGAAUCUAAAAAGAAUACAAAUUUAAUUUUACUGAAAUUAAAUCACAACAAAUGGAAACAGAAAAC